GUGAGGAAUAUUGGUCAAUGGACGAGAGUCUGAACCAGCCAAGUCGCGUGAAGGAAGACGGUUCUAUGAAUUGUAAACUUCUUUUGUGCAGGAAUAAAGUGGGUUACGUGUAACCUUUUGUAUGUACUGUACGAAUAAGGAUCGGCUAACUCCGUGCCAGCAGCCGCGGUAAUACGGAGGAUCCGAGCGUUAUCCGGAUUUAUUGGGUUUAAAGGGUGCGUAGGUGGAUUGAUAAGUCAGCGGUGAAAGUUUGCAGCUUAACUGUAGAAUUGCCGUUGAAACUGUCGGUCUUGAGUGCAAAUGAGGUAGGCGGAAUGUGUUGUGUAGCGGGGAAAUGCUUAGAUAUAACACAGAACUCCGAUUGCGAAGGCAGCUUACUGGGAUGCAACUGACACUGAUGCACGAAAGCGUGGGUAUCAAACAGGAUUAGAAACCCUGGUAGUCC
rnacentral:rRNA from 1 species